rnacentral:misc_RNA from 1 species
AAUAAAGAAAAAAAAAAAAGAAAAUUGUAUUACCUGGUCAGGAGCCUCAAGUUGUUUUCGGGAUUGCCGAGCUGAUUUUGCCCGAGCAGUAGUUCCUCGAUAGCAGGAAAUGCGAUUGUGCUAUCCGGAAUUCUAGAGAGACCACCUUUGCUCAGAUCCAAGAGACGCGGACAAGAAGGAUGCUGCGUCGCCUGAAAUAUAAAGAAUUUGCCAAUCUUAUCGUCUACUAUUCUCAAUUUUCAAAUAUCGAGUCGAAGACAAAGACGUUUAAUACCGUGACAUUUCACGAGCCUUGUGCAGAGGAAAUGCAAAAUCCUCGCUGUCGAAGCCAUCGCUGUGGUAAUAACAAGGACUUCAAAUUAUUAUGUAUUAUAAUCUGUAUAUAGAGGUGGUCUGAUCGUUCUUGUCCUUUGUGAAACAACGAACGAGGUAUUUGGGUAUGAAAUUUCUCUUUGGCGAAACGAAAGAAACGAGAUAAAAAAAGAUAACGAGACUAGUUGAAAUCGGCCCUCGAAGACGAGAAGAAGAAUUUCCAAAAUUUUUGGAUUCUUGGAUUCGUGGAUGGAGCAUUUUUCGUCCUAGACAUCUCGUCCUAAUUUUGAUGAAGAA